rnacentral:rRNA from 1 species
GAUGAACGCUAGCGGGAGGCUUAACACAUGCAAGUCGAGGGGCAGCAUAGGGUAGCAAUACUCUGAUGGCGACCGGCAAACGGGUGAGUAACGCGUAUGCAACCUACCCUGUACAGGGGGAUAACCCGGAGAAAUUCGGACUAAUAUCCCGUAAUAAUAUCCGGAGGCAUCUUUGGAUAUUUAAAGUUUCGACGGUACGGGAUGGGCAUGCGUAACAUUAGCUGGUUGGUAAGGUAACGGCUUACCAAGGCUAUGAUGUUUAGGGGUCCUGAGAGGGUGGUCCCCCACACUGGUACUGAGACACGGACCAGACUCCUACGGGAGGCAGCAGUGAGGAAUAUUGGUCAAUGGGCGCAAGCCUGAACCAGCCAUCCCGCGUGCAGGAAGACGGCCCUAUGGGUUGUAAACUGCUUUUCCAGGGAGAGAAACUUACGCACGUGUUGCGUGACUGACGGUACCCUGGGAAUAAGCAUCGGCUAACUCCGUGCCAGCAGCCGCGUAAUGAGUAGUACAC